GUCUAGCCCCGAUAGCAGCGGCAUCCUUUUGGACUAUAGGCCAAAAAGAUAAAGCGAAUAGCGGGACAAAAU
rnacentral:ncRNA from 2 species